UGGGAUGUAGCUCAGUGGCAAAGCGCUUGCCUAGCAAGUGCAACAUCCUGGGUUCGAUCCCCAGUAUCAAAA
rfam:Dipodomys ordii contig_84473, whole genome shotgun sequence.